UAAUGGGAGCUGAUGACAGAGAUAUAGGAAACACAGAGACUGCCUCCCUUGCCUUGACUGAUGGCAAGCAAAGCCGUAAAACACACAAACAUCAGAAAUUCAGUAAUCUUAUCCUUGAGGCUUUGAGGUUAUGUAAAUUUUGGCAGCAGGAAAACAUUUUUUGAGAGACACCAGGACUGCAGCUGACUGGUGCAGUAACAGAAAUUGAAACUGAU